UCACGGUGUAUCCAGUGCGCCUAGCAUGCGCCAACGAGAAAAUGUUGUCUACAUGUUUUCUCGAUGUUUGAUGGU